rnacentral:rRNA from 1 species
UACGUAGGAUGCAAGCGUUAUCCGGAAUUAUUGGGCGUAAAGCGUGUGUAGGCUUCUGUAAAAGUUUCUAGUUAAAGCCCGGGGCUCAACUCCGGAAUUGUUAGAAAGACUCUGCAGAUGGAGGUACAAAGAGGCAGAUGGAACUUGCGGUGUAGCAGUGAAAUGCGUAGAUAUCGCAAGGAACACCAAUGGCGAAGGCAGUCUGCUGGUUGUAUUCUGACGCUGAGACACGAAAGCGUGGGGAGCGAACGGG